rnacentral:rRNA from 1 species
GAAGCCGCUGCUUGAAGAGGGGCUCGCGACCCAUCAGCUAGUUGGUAGGGUAACGGCCUACCAAGGCGACGACGGGUAGCUGGUCUAAGAGGACGACCAGCCACACGGGAAUUGAGAUACGGUCCCGACUCCUACGGGAGGCAGCAGUGGGGAAUCUUGGGCAAUGGGGGAAACCCUGACCCAGCGACGCCGCGUGGGGGAUGAAGGCCUUCGGGUUGUAAACCCCUGUUAGGUGGGACGAACACCUCCUGAUGAAUAGUCAGGAGGUCUGACGGUACCACCAGAGAAAGCCCCGGCUAACUCCGUGCCAGCAGCCGCGGUAAUACGGAGGGGGCGAGUGUUG